rnacentral:lncRNA from 13 species
AGUUGUUGACGCCAGGUAUUUGCCCCUCUAUUUCUUCAAGUGAUAUUCUGAUUUUGAAUUUAUUUUUAUUUUUAUGGUUGGAUUCGGUCUCUCCCCUUUAACUGUGCUAAUUGCACCAUUUGUAUAAACUCUGAUGAUCAGGGAUUGAGUCUGUUGGACAGGAUCAGCUUGAGCAAAGUGAGGUGUAGAAUCACUGUUCUAAAAAUAGUAUUCUCUGCCAAAUAAUAGGCGUUGCACAAUUAAGACUAUUUACUACUCCUACCCUGGUUUAGGAGAUCCCCCCACCACCAAACACUCACGCACAACCAGACGUUGAAUGAUUAAUUGGAGACAGCUUGCUUCAAUUGAAGAGCAUUACCUAGAAGGUUCUGCCUGCAGCAAACCCAGUGGAUAAUGCUGGAAAUACUGGUCAAAGAUAUAUUUGUAACAGCAUACCUCCUUAUCUUCCUCACCAUCAUCAUCAUUGGAGUUGAAAGGCAAUAUCUUGUUGUUCCAGGGGAGCCCUGUUAGUGAAUGCAUUCAGUGAUGAAUCUAUUCAUUUUAGGCCUGUAAACAAACCAACCAGGACACAUUUUAGUGGCCUAAUAGUGCAUGCUGCUUGCUCAACCGCACGCUGUCAUUACAACAACAACAAAAAGUCAUCCUCCUCAACAGUUGCAGUGCAACUGUUUCAACCGUGUCUUGAGUUCCAGAUGUCCCCCAGAAAAAAAAGUACACGUUGUAAAUGUAAGUUCCUGGGCUGCUGUCUCCCCCUAUGGGCAUGUACAUUUUUAUCCAGUAAAACAAUAAUUGACUUGGUAUGAAUCGAAUAAACAUUAUUAUAUGUCUUAGUAACUUAUUUUCUAUGGCCUUUGUUUUGCCGCACGUAAAAUAGCCGUGAUAGUCACUAUAGACUAUCAUAGAUUGUAUGAAAUACUUGCGAUAUGGGAUUUCUCGUGCACACAAUUUCAGUUAUAAUGGACAGGUUACUGGUAGACCUAUUUGCAUGACUUCAUCCUCAAUGGGGUUUUUUCGUCAACUAUUUGCUUUUUAUUUUCCGUUUUCACUGGUUUAACUUUGAAGGUGCGAGUAAAAAAAAACGUGAAUCGCCUGGUCUGUGAUUUAAGAACAUAAACACAUCUUUAAAAACCAAAAUCUAUUUCAGUGCGUGAAUUAUUAUGCCUAUAUCAAUAUUGUACACGACAAGUAGAAAUGUCUAUGCAUAGCCUGUGUGUGUGUGUGUGUGUGUGUGUG